rnacentral:siRNA from 1 species
AGCAAGUUCCUCGCAAAUGUUGC